UACGUAGGGUGCGAGCGUUGUCCGGAAUUACUGGGCGUAAAGAGCUCGUAGGUGGUUUGUCGCGUUGUUCGUGAAAACUCACAACUCAAUUGUGGGCGUGCGGGCGAUACGGGCAGACUGGAGUACUGCAGGGGAGACUGGAAUUCCUGGUGUAGCGGUGAAAUGCGUAGAUAUCGAGAGGAACACCUGCGGCGAAGGCGGGUUGCUGGGCCGACACUGACGCUGAUGCGCGAAAGCCAGGGGAGCGAACGGG
rnacentral:rRNA from 1 species